CCGUGCACCCAGUUCGGGGUGCAGACCCAGCAGCCACUUCUCUGUCCUGCGCUUCGGUCCUCCGUGCUCCCGGGUCCCUGGCAGCCCGAUCGCGGCUUCUGAGUCUCAGUGCCUGCAGCUGGGUCUCUGGGGCUCCCACUGUGUGAACCAGGACGUCGGCAGAAGGAGCCUGGUGUCCUGCUGUGCCAGAGGUGUCGGAGACACCAUAGCCGGCAGGGACCGAGAUGGGUACUGUGGACGGACAGAUGGACGGAGGGGUGGGUGCCGGAGCUUGCUGGGGCCCCCAUCUGCCAGGCUCCAUGCUGACCUCCACACCCGGGAAGAGCCCCCGGGGCUGACCAGCGGACUCCUGUGUGCUCACCACUGUGCCCACCAUGUGCCCCGGCACCCUCUGUUCCAGGCAGCACUUUGAGAGGGUGCAGCUGCGGGAGCUGUCGGCUGCGGAGCUCAGGCAGCACCAGGAAGCCCGGCUGGCCCUGCCCACAUCCAGGCUGCGCUUCGUCCCCAGGCUCAGUGGGCUCCGACCCAUUGUGAACAUGGACUGCAUGGCCCAGCAGUGCACCCCACGCAUCCGGACCCUGUUCAGCGUGCUGAAUUACGAGCGGGCACGGUGGCCCAAGCUCCUGGGCGCCUCUGUGCUGGGCCUGGAUGACACCUACAGGGCCUGGCGGGCCUUCGUGCUGCGCAUGCGUGCCCAGGACCCUGCACCCCGGCUGUACUUCGUCAAGGCAGACGUGUCUGGGGCAUAUGACGCCCUCCCACAGGACAAAGUGGCAGAGGUGGUGGCUAGUGUCCUCAGGCCCUGGGAGAACACGUACUGUGUCCGCCGCUACGCCGUGGUGCAGAGAGCCGCCAGGGGACACACGCGCAGGGCGUUCCGGAGACACGUAAGGCAGGCGUGGACCCUGCUGGGGACGUUUGUGACACAUGUGCUCAAGUGCAGGUGUCCUGGGGGUGGCUGUCACCGCGACUUUGGUCCAGGCGCAGGCAUGACCGUGGCGUGUGUGUCAGGUGUGGGCAUGUGGGACCUGACUCUCUCCGCUGGGGUCGUGGUGAGGCGCCCUCUGUCCCUGUCCCAACAUGCUGGUGGCCCAGUGGUGCCACCCGGGUCCUGGUCCUCUUCCAGCCCUGGGACCUGCACUGUGGAGGGCUCCCAGGCUCAGGCCGGGGCGGCACAGAUGGCCCCAGGUGCUCUGCCUUUUCCUGAGACGAGCAGGGCAGGAGUUCCAGACCCGAGUGUGCCCAGCUGUGGCGCUGCCGUGGGGGCUGUCUGA
rnacentral:lncRNA from 1 species